rnacentral:rRNA from 1 species
AAAUUGAAGAGUUUGAUCAUGGCUCAGAUUGAACGCUGGCGGCAGGCCUAACACAUGCAAGUCGAACGGUAGCACAGAGAGCUUGCUCUCGGGUGACGAGUGGCGGACGGGUGAGUAAUGUCUGGGAAACUGCCUGAUGGAGGGGGAUAACUACUGGAAACGGUGGCUAAUACCGCAUAACGUCGCAAGACCAAAGAGGGGGACCUUCGGGCCUCUUGCCAUCAGAUGUGCCCAGAUGGGAUUAGCUAGUUGGUGAGGUAACGGCUCACCAAGGCGACGAUCCCUAGCUGGUCUGAGAGGAUGACCAGCCACACUGGAACUGAGACACGGUCCAGACUCCUACGGGAGGCAGCAGUGGGGAAUAUUGCACAAUGGGCGCAAGCCUGAUGCAGCCAUGCCGCGUGUAUGAAGAAGGCCUUCGGGUUGUAAAGUACUUUCAGCGGGGAGGAAGGUGUUGUGGUUAAUAACCGCAGCAAUUGACGUUACCCGCAGAAGAAGCACCGGCUAACUCCGUGCCAGCAGCCGCGGUAAUACGGAGGGUGCAAGCGUUAAUCGGAAUUACUGGGCGUAAAGCGCACGCAGGCGGUCUGUCAAGUCGGAUGUGAAAUCCCCGGGCUCAACCUGGGAACUGCAUUCGAAACUGGCAGGCUUGAGUCUUGUAGAGGGGGGUAGAAUUCCAGGUGUAGCGGUGAAAUGCGUAGAGAUCUGGAGGAAUACCGGUGGCGAAGGCGGCCCCCUGGACAAAGACUGACGCUCAGGUGCGAAAGCGUGGGGAGCAAACAGGAUUAGAUACCCUGGUAGUCCACGCCGUAAACGAUGUCUACUUGGAGGUUGUGCCCUUGAGGCGUGGCUUCCGGAGCUAACGCGUUAAGUAGACCGCCUGGGGAGUACGGCCGCAAGGUUAAAACUCAAAUGAAUUGACGGGGGCCCGCACAAGCGGUGGAGCAUGUGGUUUAAUUCGAUGCAACGCGAAGAACCUUACCUGGUCUUGACAUCCACAGAACUUUCCAGAGAUGGAUUGGUGCCUUCGGGAACUGUGAGACAGGUGCUGCAUGGCUGUCGUCAGCUCGUGUUGUGAAAUGUUGGGUUAAGUCCCGCAACGAGCGCAACCCUUAUCCUUUGUUGCCAGCGGUUAGGCCGGGAACUCAAAGGAGACUGCCAGUGAUAAACUGGAGGAAGGUGGGGAUGACGUCAAGUCAUCAUGGCCCUUACGACCAGGGCUACACACGUGCUACAAUGGCGCAUACAAAGAGAAGCGACCUCGCGAGAGCAAGCGGACCUCAUAAAGUGCGUCGUAGUCCGGAUUGGAGUCUGCAACUCGACUCCAUGAAGUCGGAAUCGCUAGUAAUCGUGGAUCAGAAUGCCACGGUGAAUACGUUCCCGGGCCUUGUACACACCGCCCGUCACACCAUGGGAGUGGGUUGCAAAAGAAGUAGGUAGCUUAACCUUCGGGAGGGCGCUUACCACUUUGUGAUUCAUGACUGGGGUGAAGUCGUAACAAGGUAACCGUAGGGGAACCUGCGGUUGGAUCACCUCCUUACCUUAAAGAAGC